rnacentral:rRNA from 1 species
UACGUAGGGCGCAAGCGUUGUCCGGAAUUAUUGGGCGUAAAGCGCUCGUAGGCGGUUUGUCACGUCGGGUGUGAAAGCCCGGGGCUUAACCCCGGGUCUGCAUUCGAUACGGGCAGACUAGAGUGUGGUAGGGGAGAUCGGAAUUCCUGGUGUAGCGGUGAAAUGCGCAGAUAUCAGGAGGAACACCGGUGGCGAAGGCGGAUCUCUGGGCCAUUACUGACGCUGAGGAGCGAAAGCGUGGGGAGCGAACAGG